UGCACGCAAGAACAAGAUGCUGUAAGGUGGU
rnacentral:piRNA from 1 species